rnacentral:rRNA from 1 species
AAUAUUAGUUAAGGACUUUAAACCCAAAGAAUUUGGCGGUAUCUUAUUCCAUUCAGAGAAACCUACCCUAUAAUUGAUAAUACACGAUUUACUUUACUUAAUUUAUUUGUUUGUAUAUCUCCGUUAUCAGAGGAUCUUUUUAGAGCUAUAAUUUUCUAAAUUUAUAAUUGUAAAGUAUUUCAGGUCAAGGUGCAGCUUAUAAUUAAGAGGAGGUGGGUUACAAUAAAUUUAUUUUAAACGUAUUUAAUAAUGAAUAUUAUUAAUGAAGGUGGAUUUGAUAGUAAUUAAAUUUAUUUAAUUUAUUUGAUAUUGGCUCUAAGAGGUGU